rnacentral:rRNA from 1 species
AGCAGCCGCGGUAAUUCCAGCUCCAAUAGCGUAUAUUAAAGUUGUUGCAGUUAAAAAGCUCGUAGUUGAAUUUCGGGGUCAGCAGGUUGGUCGUGCCACUGGUAUGUACUGGCUUUGCUGAUUCCUCCUUCUUGUAGAACCGUAAUGCCAUUAAUUUGGUGUUGCGGGGAAACAGGACUGUUACUUUGAAAAAAUUAGAGUGUUUAAAGCAGGCUAACGCUUGAAUACAUUAGCAUGGAAUAAUGAAAUAGGACGAGCGAUCCUAUUUUGUUGGUUUCUAGGAUUGACGUACUGAUUAAUAGGGAUAGUUGGGGGCAUUAGUAUUCAAUUGUCAGAGGUGAAAUUCUUGGAUUUAUUGAAGACUAACUACUGCGAAAGCAUUUGCCAAGGAUGUUUUCAUUAAUCUAAGAACG